UUAAGUUAUUAAGGGCGCACGGUGGAUGCCUUGGCACUAGAAGCCGAUGAAGGACGUUACUAACGACGAUAUGCUUUGGGGAGCUGUAAGUAAGCUUUGAUCCAGAGAUUUCCGAAUGGGGAAACCCAGCAUGAGUUAUGUCAUGUUAUCGAUAUGUGAAUACAUAGCAUAUCAGAAGGCACACCCGGAGAACUGAAACAUCUUAGUACCCGGAGGAAGAGAAAGAAAAUUCGAUUCCCUUAGUAGCGGCGAGCGAAACGGGAAGAGCCCAAACCAACAAGCUUGCUUGUUGGGGUUGUAGGACACUCUAUACGGAGUUACAAAGGACGACAUUAGACGAAUCAUCUGGAAAGAUGAAUCAAAGAAGGUAAUAAUCCUGUAGUCGAAAAUGUUGUCUCUCUUGAGUGGAUCCUGAGUACGACGGAGCACGUGAAAUUCCGUCGGAAUCUGGGAGGACCAUCUCCUAAGGCUAAAUACUCUCUAGUGACCGAUAGUGAACCAGUACCGUGAGGGAAAGGUGAAAAGCACCCCGGAAGGGGAGUGAAAUAGAACCUGAAACCGUGUGCUUACAAGUAGUCAGAGCCCGUUAAUGGGUGAUGGCGUGCCUUUUGUAGAAUGAACCGGCGAGUUACGAUUUGAUGCAAGGUUAAGCAGUAAAUGUGGAGCCGUAGCGAAAGCGAGUCUGAAUAGGGCGUUUAGUAUUUGGUCGUAGACCCGAAACCAGGUGAUCUACCCUUGGUCAGGUUGAAGUUCAGGUAACACUGAAUGGAGGACCGAACCGACUUACGUUGAAAAGUGAGCGGAUGAACUGAGGGUAGCGGAGAAAUUCCAAUCGAACCUGGAGAUAGCUGGUUCUCUCCGAAAUAGCUUUAGGGCUAGCCUCAAGUGAUGAUUAUUGGAGGUAGAGCACUGUUUGGACGAGGGGCCCCUCUCGGGUUACCGAAUUCAGACAAACUCCGAAUGCCAAUUAAUUUAACUUGGGAGUCAGAACAUGGGUGAUAAGGUCCGUGUUCGAAAGGGAAACAGCCCAGACCACCAGCUAAGGUCCCAAAAUAUAUGUUAAGUGGAAAAGGAUGUGGCGUUGCCCAGACAACUAGGAUGUUGGCUUAGAAGCAGCCAUCAUUUAAAGAGUGCGUAAUAGCUCACUAGUCGAGUGACACUGCGCCGAAAAUGUACCGGGGCUAAACAUAUUACCGAAGCUGCGGAUUGUCCUUUGGACAAUGGUAGGAGAGCGUUCUAAGGGCGUUGAAGCAUGAUCGCAAGGACAUGUGGAGCGCUUAGAAGUGAGAAUGCCGGUGUGAGUAGCGAAAGACGGGUGAGAAUCCCGUCCACCGAUUGACUAAGGUUUCCAGAGGAAGGCUCGUCCGCUCUGGGUUAGUCGGGUCCUAAGCUGAGGCCGACAGGCGUAGGCGAUGGAUAACAGGUUGAUAUUCCUGUACCACCUAUAAUCGUUUUAAUCGAUGGGGGGACGCAGUAGGAUAGGCGAAGCGUGCGAUUGGAUUGCACGUCUAAGCAGUAAGGCUGAGUAUUAGGCAAAUCCGGUACUCGUUAAGGCUGAGCUGUGAUGGGGAGAAGACAUUGUGUCUUCGAGUCGUUGAUUUCACACUGCCGAGAAAAGCCUCUAGAUAGAAAAUAGGUGCCCGUACCGCAAACCGACACAGGUAGUCAAGAUGAGAAUUCUAAGGUGAGCGAGCGAACUCUCGUUAAGGAACUCGGCAAAAUGACCCCGUAACUUCGGGAGAAGGGGUGCUCUUUAGGGUUAACGCCCAGAAGAGCCGCAGUGAAUAGGCCCAAGCGACUGUUUAUCAAAAACACAGGUCUCUGCUAAACCGUAAGGUGAUGUAUAGGGGCUGACGCCUGCCCGGUGCUGGAAGGUUAAGAGGAGUGGUUAGCUUCUGCGAAGCUACGAAUCGAAGCCCCAGUAAACGGCGGCCGUAACUAUAACGGUCCUAAGGUAGCGAAAUUCCUUGUCGGGUAAGUUCCGACCCGCACGAAAGGCGUAACGAUUUGGGCACUGUCUCAACGAGAGACUCGGUGAAAUCAUAGUACCUGUGAAGAUGCAGGUUACCCGCGACAGGACGGAAAGACCCCGUGGAGCUUUACUGUAGCCUGAUAUUGAAAUUCGGCACAGCUUGUACAGGAUAGGUAGGAGCCUUUGAAACGUGAGCGCUAGCUUACGUGGAGGCGCUGGUGGGAUACUACCCUAGCUGUGUUGGCUUUCUAACCCGCACCACUUAUCGUGGUGGGAGACAGUGUCAGGCGGGCAGUUUGACUGGGGCGGUCGCCUCCUAAAAGGUAACGGAGGCGCUCAAAGGUUCCCUCAGAAUGGUUGGAAAUCAUUCAUAGAGUGUAAAGGCAUAAGGGAGCUUGACUGCGAGACCUACAAGUCGAGCAGGGUCGAAAGACGGACUUAGUGAUCCGGUGGUUCCGCAUGGAAGGGCCAUCGCUCAACGGAUAAAAGCUACCCCGGGGAUAACAGGCUUAUCUCCCCCAAGAGUUCACAUCGACGGGGAGGUUUGGCACCUCGAUGUCGGCUCAUCGCAUCCUGGGGCUGUAGUCGGUCCCAAGGGUUGGGCUGUUCGCCCAUUAAAGCGGUACGCGAGCUGGGUUCAGAACGUCGUGAGACAGUUCGGUCCCUAUCCGUCGUGGGCGUAGGAAAUUUGAGAGGAGCUGUCCUUAGUACGAGAGGACCGGGAUGGACAUACCUCUGGUGUACCAGUUGUCGUGCCAACGGCAUAGCUGGGUAGCUAUGUGUGGACGGGAUAAGUGCUGAAAGCAUCUAAGCAUGAAGCCCCCCUCAAGAUGAGAUUUCCCAACUUCGGUUAUAAGAUCCCUCAAAGAUGAUGAGGUUAAUAGGUUCGAGGUGGAAGCAUGGUGACAUGUGGAGCUGACGAAUACUAAUCGAUCGAAGACUUAAUCAA
rnacentral:rRNA from 1 species